GUGCCUUGGCGCAUACUGUCAAUGCAGUCGAGCGGUAACAUUUCAAAAGCUUGCUUUUGAAGAUGACGAGCGGCGGACGGGUGAGUAAAGCCUGGGAAUUUGCCCAUUUGUGGGGGAUAACAGUUGGAAACGACUGCUAAUACCGCAUACGCCCUACGGGGGAAAGCAGGGGAACUUAGGUCCUUGCGCUGAUGGAUAAGCCCAGGUGGGAUUAGCUAGUAGGUGAGGUAAUGGCUCACCUAGGCAACGAUCCCUAGCUGGUCUGAGAGGAUGAUCAGCCACACUGGGACUGAGACACGGCCCAGACUCCUACGGGAGGCAGCAGUGGGGAAUAUUGCACAAUGGGGGAAACCCUGAUGCAGCCAUGCCGCGUGUGUGAAGAAGGCCUUCGGGUUGUAAAGCACUUUCAGCGAGGAGGAAAGGUUGUUAGUUAAUACCUGACAUCUGUGACGUUACUCGCAGAAGAAGCACCGGCUAACUCCGUGCCAGCAGCCGCGGUAAUACGGAGGGUGCGAGCGUUAAUCGGAAUUACUGGGCGUAAAGCGUGCGCAGGCGGUUUGUUAAGCGAGAUGUGAAAGCCCCGGGCUCAACCUGGGAACCGCAUUUCGAACUGGCAAACUAGAGUCUUGUAGAGGGGGGUAGAAUUCCAGGUGUAGCGGUGAAAUGCGUAGAGAUCUGGAGGAAUACCGGUGGCGAAGGCGGCCCCCUGGACAAAGACUGACGCUCAGGCACGAAAGCGUGGGAGCAAACAGGAUUAGAUACCCUGGUAGUCCACGCCGUAAACGAUGUCUACUCGGAGUUUGGUGUCUUGAACACUGGGCUCUCAAGCUAACGCAUUAAGUAGACCGCCUGGGGAGUACGGCCGCAAGGUUAAAACUCAAAUGAAUUGACGGGGGCCCGCACAAGCGGUGGAGCAUGUGGUUUAAUUCGAUGCAACGCGAAGAACCUUACCUACUCUUGACAUCCUCAGAAGCCAGCGGAGACGCAGUGUGCCUUCGGGAACUGAGAGACAGGUGCUGCAUGGCUGUCGUCAGCUCGUGUUGUGAAAUGUUGGGUUAGUCCCGCACGAGCGCACCCCUAUCGUACUGCAGCGGGUAAUGCCGGGAACUUUAGGAGACUGCGUGAUAAACCGAGAGUGGGGACGACGUCAGUCAUCAUGGCCUACGAGUAGGGCUACACAACGGUGCUACAAUUGUCGGUACCGAGGAUGGCCUAAGCCCGCGGAGGGUGGGAGCUUAUAUCUCUAAUUAAGGCCGGGCUCGUCUGUAUAUUUCGA
rnacentral:rRNA from 1 species